CUCUUAUCAAGAGUGGUGGAGGGACUGGCCCGAUGAAGCCCGGCAACCGGCACAUAGGUGCGACUGGUGCCAAUUCCUGCAAAACGAAGAGUUUUGAGAGAUGAGAG
rnacentral:ncRNA from 2 species